CCCCAGCGCUGACCUCCACGCCUGGACCCCUGGCCGCCCCGACAAGCUUCGCCGAGGUGCCGACCGACCGACUGAUCGCGGACGCCGGCUGCAUGGACUACGGAUCCGCAGGAAGAGACAGUGGGGGGCCAGGGGCCCAGUAGAGGAGGCUGAGCUCCUUCCAACUCCUCAGAGCCUCCACUCUAUGGAUCUGGACUCCUGGAUUCGGCUUUCUCCCCGGGCACUUUCAGGAAGACGUUGAGAAUUGACCUUACACAAUCCCAGCGCCCUCCUCACAGGAGCCUUUCACUUCACAGUGACAAGGGGCUGGUUCUGGGGAACUGGCCGAGGCUCUGAAUUUCUUCAUAUACCCCACGUUUGACUUUGGCUUACACGGUACAACUGGAGAUGUUGCUACAGGUCCCUGAGAUGCAGUCAGAUCAAGCGUAGCAAGCAUUGCCAAUGGGAAACUCAAAAGAAUUUACUUAUUUUUCCCUUUCCCCCUACCCCCUCCCCAGCCAGGAAUUUCUUUCAAAGAUACCGUCAUCAUUCUUAAACAACACUCUUAACCCCCAGCCGGGGUCCUCAUUUUAGUAGAUGUCAUUGCUUCAAGUCUAAUGGUACCGGGAGGCCUGUUUGAGGGAAAAUAUUAGUUUGAAAAAUCCCUGUUUCCUUCAUCCACUGCCCUUGUUCUCUCCACAUGGGAGUAUGCCUGUGGCCCCUCAGAAAGUCUGCUAGCUUCUAGGGGUUGGGAUGGGGGACACACCUUUUUCUCAGGAAGAGGUGGUGGCGAUGUAAAACAUCUAAGCAAAGUUUUAAAUGGAAAAAAAGGAAGCACAUUUAAAUAUCCUGAUAAUGGAGGGAAGGGGGCACAUUUACACACAGCCCAGAACUUGUAGAAUUCUGCGAAGUGAAUGUAUAUUGAAUUAGUCUCCUGCCUUAUACAUUCAGGAAGAAUAAAUUUCCAUAAUGUAAGGCAAAUGCAUGGGGUUCUGAGGUUUACUUUGUAAGUGUCCUUGCUGCCUUUCCUCUGUGUCUAUUAUGGCUCUUUAAGUUGACAGUUCCUGGAGCAGCUUCUAUUUAAUUUCGUUUGGCAGUCUGGCCCUGUUGACUGACUUUGAUUUGCAGACCAAUUCUGCCUUGACCUGACUCACAGCCACCUGCUCUUACCCCCCUCCUCAGGAAGUCUUCCUCAUUAAAGGAUGUGAUGAGGGA